rnacentral:rRNA from 1 species
UACGUAGGGGGCUAGCGUUGUCCGGAAUCAUUGGGCGUAAAGAGCGUGUAGGCGGCCCGGUAAGUCCGCUGUGAAAGUCGGGGGCUCAACCCUCGAAUGCCGGUGGAUACUGUCGGGCUAGAGUGCGGAAGAGGCGAGUGGAAUUCCUGGUGUAGCGGUGAAAUGCGCAGAUAUCAGGAGGAACACCAAUUGCGAAGGCAGUUCGCUGGGACGUAACUGACGCUGAGACGCGAAAGCGUGGGGAGCAAACAGG